UUCCGGUUGAUCCUGCCGGCGGCCACCGCUAUUGGAAUUCGAUUAAGACAUGCGAGUCGAGAGAUAUUUGGUCUCGGCAGACCGCUCAGUAACACGCGGAUAACAUGCCCUUGGGAGGAGGAUAACCUCGGGAAACUGAGAAUAAUACUCCAUAGACCUUAGAUGCUGGAAUGCUUUAAGGUCGAAAACUCCGGUGCCCAAGGAUUGAUCUGCGGCGUAUCAGGUUGUAGUGGGCGUAACGGACCCCCUAGCCUACGACGCGUAAGGGCCUUGAGAGAGGGAGCCCUGAGAUGGACUCUGAGACAUGAGUCCAGGCCCUACGGGGCGCAGCAGUCGCGAAAACUUCACAAUGGGGGAAACCCCGAUGAGGGAAUUCCAAGUGCCAGCACUUAGUGUUGGCUGUUCUCCUGUCUAAAAAACAGGAGAAGUAAGGGCCGGGUAAGACGGGUGCCAGCCGCCGCGGUAAUACCCGCGGCCCGAGUGGUGGUCGAUAUUAUUGAGCCUAAAACGUCCGUAGCCGGUCUUGUAAAUCCUUGGGUAAAUCGGCCAGCUUAACUGUCCGAAGUCCGGGGAGACUGCAAGACUUGGGAUCGGGAGAGGUCAGAGGUACUUCUGGGGUAGGGGUAAAAUCCUGUAAUCCUAGGAGGACCACCGGUGGCGAAGGCGUCUGACUAGAACGAAUCCGACGGUGAGGGACGAAGCCCUGGGGCGCAAACGGGAUUAGAUACCCCGGUAGUCCAGGGUGUAAACGCUGCGGGCUUGGUGUUGGGGGUCCUUAGAGGGCGCCCAGUGCCGGAGAGAAGUUGUUAAGCCUGCUGCUUGGGGAGUACGUCCGCAAGGAUGAAACUUAAAGGAAUUGGCGGGGGAGCAC
rnacentral:rRNA from 1 species